GAUUUAACACGCCAUGAGCCCACGGGGUUUGAGGAGUGCCUCAGGUUCUCAGCAACUGGAGCUACAGACGGCUGUGAGCCACUUGGAUGCUGUCUCACUGAAACAUCUCUUCAGACCCUGCGUUAGCUCUGCCCCGCCCAGCCCCGCCCCGCCCCGCCCCCUUCUCCUCUUCUGUGAGACAGGCAGUUAAAGAAGUUGGAACUGUCUGCUUGUCAGCUCAAGGCCAGGUUCCCAUGGGCUCAAACGCCCCGUUGUGCCCUGCUGGUCAGGGCAGAUUGGCACCCAGUGAUCCAGCUCGAAAACCCUAAGGACCCUGGGAACGCUGCUGCACCCAGGGGGGCAGGCCUGCCCACGUUCACUGAGCCACCUUGCCUGAAAGCAUAGGCUCACAGAGUUGCCACAGCUCCACACGACCGUGAGACAGACUUGCAAAGAGGUUGCCACGGUCCCAUUGGCAGUGAGACAGACCCGCAGAGAGGUCGCCACGGCUCCACACGGCUGUGAGAAGAACCCGCAGUGACUGCCACGGAUCUGGAGGAGUAACGCAGAGGCUCAAGAAGCCACCACCACAGCUGUAUCAGAGCUGUGCCAGGGCUUGGGGAAGCGAAGAUGUGACCACACAUACAAGAAGGACAGCAUAAAACAUCUGCUCCUGAAGCGGUUGGCAGAGACCUCCACACCUACUAGGAGCAGCCAGAUGAGAAAGAACAUACAGGGCAGAGAGAUUGGCGAUGGCCAGGAAGACGGGGCUGGAUGGGAAAGCACUCUCGAAAACAGCGCCGCACAGCCCAGUUUUGUACCCAGUGUCCAUCUCCUGCCACCUUUCUCGGGCGUGUUCCAGUCAAACGCCAGCCAGGUGAAGCAGAGCACAGCUAUGAGGCAGCAGUGAGCGCAGAAGGUGCACCUGAGGAUGACACUGCAGGCCACUCCCAGCACCGGGAAGGACAGGACCCACUGUAGCACUGAGAUGACCUGUGGCUGCUUGUCCUCCUUGGACCUGUUGUCCCAAGUGAUGGAGAAGAUGUCCUGGAGGGCCGAGAGGAUGCUGGAACCAGUUCCCCAUCGCCCGGACCCCUCGUGUGCUUGUUCUCGCUGCAGGCAGCUUCGACUGUCACAGCUGUACAGAAAGUGGCCUCACAUGGCACCCCUGGCUCAUGCCCCAGCCCCCAGGGCCGGGGCUUCGCGCUGAGCUCUGGGAGCCUGGGAACAGUGCCCAGGCGGUGGUGGAAACGGGGCAGAAACCGGGCGGGGACCUAGGCAGGCAGCAGUGAGCCAGGGAAGGGCGGCCAAGCACCUCGCUGCAGCCCACCAACAGUGUGCAUUUUGUAAACAUACCAAUUCAUGGCUUUCUUUCCUGUGAUGACGAAAGCUCACGGAACUUUGACACGGUGGAACAUGCCAUUCAAAGUAACUUGACUCCCUAGUCCCAGGCGUGACCUGUGACUUUUGGCUGAGAAUAAA